GAAAGAUGAAAAGAACUUUGAAAAGAGAGUUAAAUAGUACGUGAAAUUGUUGAAAGGGAAACGAUUGAAGCCAGUCGUACCUGCGGGUAAUCAGCCUUUUGGGCAUGAUUCUGUGGAGCGUGAGGAGUUAAACGCCUUCAUGCCUGCAUAUUCGUGUACUUUGGGUGUACUUGCCUGUGUGGUUAGUUAACAUCAAUUUUGGUUAUCAUAAAAUGGUUGGAGGAAAGUAGCUUCGAUUUCGAUUGAAGUGUUAUA
rnacentral:rRNA from 1 species